GAACGGUUGGCUCAGUGGAAAGAGCGUUCGCACGUAACGCGAGAUGUCGCGGGUUCGAAUCACGCAUCGUUCA